CAUGUAUUCAGGUGAGAGACAAGAGAAGAAUGAGUCAGCAGCUCCUGUGUUCAUCUCCAAGACUUGAAGAUAUAUAUCAUCUGUAAGGAAGCUUAUCCAAUUCCCACAUCAGUAUAUGGCAGCUACUGGCAGAGUCAAGGUCCUUUCUUCCACCUUGGGUGGACUCAGACACUUUUUGUGGCAUUUCUAUACGACAACGUACAUGGAAAUAUCAGCAAGCUAACUGCUCUGAAUUAUGAAGAUCGUGGAAAUAUUAUUAGAAUUUACAAGUGAAAAUAUGACACCCUGCAUCAACAUCCACUCCUGGCACUC